CACAGCUGCCAUCUGCUUCCGGCUGGAAACGCAACGUCGGUGAUGAACCCGAAAGGACGCCAGCAGGCCGCGCGUCUCCCACCGAGAGGUGCUCUGGCUGCUGUGCCUCGUUCCGAACACCAGUGAGCGGUGAGGGGUCUAGUUCCAGAAAGCGCCCGGUGGCACUCUCACUGGGAUCGCACCAGAAAUCAACUCAGGGAGGAAGACAGUCAUGCGCCGUCAUUGCACCCCAACAUCAGGCACUGGUUUUGGUCUGUUUCGCAGGAGUCUCCUUCCGAAAAAGACCCCCGGGAGGUGGGAAGACCACUGCUCCUCAGGACAAAACCCAGAUACCUCCGUGAGUGGGUGGCCACAGGCCUGACCCCGGGAGGCCGGGCAGGACCUUACCUGGUCACCACCUCGAAGGCUGCACUUGUCUGUACCAGUGCCCAUGAGCCACCCACAGCCCAGCACACGACACCUUGGCCAAGGGGCGCCAUCUGGGCUCCUCCUGGGGUCAAAUGCGCCACCUGGCUGGCGCGUCAGGUCCGCAGAGUCUGUCCUGUGCCCACAGGAAGCAGUACUGGGAGCAGCCCCACAGCAGCCUGGCUACCGGCGACAAGCGUCCAGAAGGGACCCGUGUGGCCAGCCUGGCCCUCACUGUGCGAAGGCAGUGGGACCUCCAGAAGAAUCUCCAGAACCAGGGACUCAGCUCCUCGGCCUCCUACCAGGCGACUCCAUUCCUGACUUACCUCAAUGAUGGCCCCUGCCCUGCCUGGUCCUGCGCAUGCCAGAAGCAGUGACAGAAACGGUGCCCUCGGACGAGUGACUCCGCAGGUGGGCAGGGGCACGCAAUGGGGAUGCAAGCUGGUGAGACCACUGCCCUCCGCCCCCUGAAACAGCACAGGGCUCUCUCCACCUCGAGGCACUAAGAUGCCCCCAGACAGUGAGGGAGAUUCCCCAGGAAGCACAGAGCCCAGUGAGCAAGCAGGAAGGGAGCGUUUGAGACCACCAGGAGGAAGCGUGCCGGUGGGUGCAGACACGGAUCUGGGUGCGCGCAGAGAAGCGCCGGUGAUGGCUGUCUCCAGUGGACGGGGGCUUCUCAUUACUUCUCCUUGAGUAUAUUUUGUUGGGGUUUUUUUUUGAGGUAUAAAUUUUUUAAGAAAGAAAUUUUAAGUUCAUUUGGAAAAUAAAAUCCAAAAUUAUCAGCAACUGCCAUUUUCAUCUACCGGCUAGGCAAACACCCCACCCUUUGCUAACAUGCUAUGUGGGUGAGGUUCCUAGAAAACAAGUGUUCUCAUUCACUGUUGUUAAUAAAAACCGGAAAGAUACCAAAAAAUAAAAUGAAAACAAAUUUUUAAAGAAGAAUACAAACUGGUGCCACUGCGGCAGCACGGGCAGUUUGCCAGCACCUGCCAAAAUGACAGCUGAGUUUGAGCAGAGUGCACCUCGGGAGCUGACGCCGCAGAUACCUGGAUGCAAGCAAGGGCAGCCACAGGCUGCGUCUGCAUUGCCAGUUGGAGCAAACAGGCUGCUGUGAGAGGGAGGCACAGUGACCCACAGGAGAAGGUGCCGGUCAGCCUUGAAUGGAAAGAAUGACAGGUCUGCCAAAGCUCAGUGGAGAAAAGAGCCCCUAGAGGUGCC